rnacentral:tRNA from 1 species
GGAGGGUUCGCAUAGCGGUCUAGUGCGCACGCUUGGAAAGCGUGUAACCCGCAAGGGUUCGCGAGUUCGAAUCUCGCACCCUCCG